rnacentral:rRNA from 1 species
GAUGAACGCUAGCGGCAGGCUUAAUACAUGCAAGUCGUGGGGCAGCAUGAGUAGCAAUACUUGAUGGCGACCGGCAAACGGGUGCGGAACACGUACACAACCUUCCGAUAAGUGGGGAAUAGCCCAGAGAAAUUUGGAUUAAUACCCCGUAACAUAUAGAGUAGGCAUCUUCUUUAUAUUAUAGCUUCGGCGCUUAUUGAUGGGUGUGCGUCUGAUUAGGUAGUUGGCGGGGUAACGGCCCACUAUGCCUACAAUCACUAGCUGAAGUUAGAGUAGGAUCAGCCAAGCGGGUACUAACACACGGCCCGUACUCCUACCGGAGGCAGCAGUAAGGAAUAUUGGACAAUGUGCGAAAGCCUGAUCCAGCCAUGCCGCGUGAAGGAUUAAGGUCCUCUGGAUUGUAAACUUCUUUUAUUUGGGACGAAAAAAGGGAAUUCUUUCCCACUUGACGGUACCAAGUGAAUAAGCACCGGCUAACUCCGUGCCAGCCGCCGCAGUAA